UGGUGGGGCCCCUUAGCUAGAU
rnacentral:piRNA from 1 species